UGUCCUCAUGAAAUUGGAGUUGGGUGAGAAAGAAUCCUAAAGAUGGUCCAAUGGGCAUGGUGUGAAGCCACUCUCUUUGUGUCAGUCAGGGUUUAUUUUAUGAGUAAUGAAAUUGCUACUCCCGAGUGGUGCAGCGUUCUAAGGCACUGCAUCUCAGUACUAGAGGCGUCACUACAGACACCCUGGUUCAAAUCCAGGCUGUAUCACAACCGGCCGUGAUUGGGAGUCCCAUAGGGCGGCGCACAAUUGGCCCAGUGCCGUCUGGGUUUGGCCGGUGUAGGCCGUCAUUGUAAAUAAGAAUUUGUUCGUAACUGACUUGCCUAGUUAAAUAAAGGUUAAAUAAAAAUACAUACAUGUAUUUAGUGGUUGUUCUGUAUGGUGACAUGAGUGGAGUGGACUGACUUCUCCCACUUGUCACAGAUAUCCGGAGUAGAUGUGGUGGAUCGUUCCAUAAUGACCAUCACCGAGGCCAACCCUCAGAGCAAGACUGGCAGCCGGCCGGGGGCUGAGCCUGAGACCCCUGCUGUAGCGCUUCAGAACAGUGGAGGAUGGCUCAGCUGGAUCUUCAGGAGAGGAAAGGAGAUUCAUCUUUCUGAUGAGAAAGACAACUCUAACAAGCCUGUACUGCCUCCUCCCUUGAUGGGAAUGUAUCUGGGGAACUUCCCAAAGGGGUGAAUCCUUACUCAGGAAAGCAGUCUAACAGCAGGUCUAUGGGAAAAAUAUCCCAGGAUGCUCUACUCUGAUGGGACCACCUCAACACCACCAAGCCAGCUCCCUUGACAGUUCCCUGCCCAACACUCCACCCUCAUGGCACAGAUGACAGAAACUUGGCCCUGGAACUCUAACCUACUGAGGUAUGAAUCCUUUAAUUGAUUUCAUAAAAUGAGA
rnacentral:lncRNA from 1 species